rfam:Treponema denticola ATCC 35405, complete genome.
AGCGGCACGGAUGCCGCUGGUUCCACUCCUUACGAGUUUGCAACGCAAACUCGAAGCUGAAAAAUGUACACGGAUGUCCGAUCAUAAGCCGGA